CGAAGUUGGAAUUGCUAGUAAUCGUGGAUCAGCAUGCCACGGUGAAUACGUUCCCGGGUCUUGUACACACCGCCCGUCACACCAUGGGAGCUGGUAACACCCGAAGUCAGUAGUCUAACCGCAAGGAGGACGCUGCCGAAGGUGGGAUUAGCGACUGGGGUGAAGUCGUAACAAGGUAAC
rnacentral:rRNA from 1 species